rnacentral:misc_RNA from 1 species
CGGACUCGGAUGAGGAUCUUGAGGAGCGGAUCCGUCAGAAGAAGGAGGCAUUUGAACGCAAAAUUAAAGAAGCAGGCAUUUAUGAUGAGGAUGAAUUAGAACCAGAAGCACCAAAAAUUUUCAAGGAUCCCAUCUCUGACAAGCACAGCUACCCAUUCCAGAACAAAUAUAAUGGAAUUCCUGGCUUGGAUGUGAAAUCUGAACCUGAAAGUAGUUCAAAGGAUUCAAAAGGGAAGACGGAGCGACCAGCAGAGAAAACUAAAAAAGCAAAGAAAAGUAGGCCGACCUCAAGCAGUAGUUCUAGUGCUUCGGGGAGUUCUAGUGAAUCUGAUUCUGACAGCUCGAAAUAGUUCAUCUAGCUCUUCCAGUACUUCUUAUGACUCAGAUAGUUCUGUCAAUGAGAGAAAAAAAAGGGAUAAGAAAAAGAAAAGGGAAUUAGAAAAGUCUUCUUCUAAAACAGUGGGGAAAAGAAAGGAAAGGGAAAAAAGUGGGAGUAGUAGGACUGGGAAAAGUAAAGAUCUGGAAUCAGAUCAUAAGAAGAAUAGGGAAAGAAGACAGAGUAAGGGGGAGGAUUUAGGUAGGAGUUAUGGUAGGGAUGGGGACACACCUGAGUAGUAAAGAUGACAAAAGCAAAAGGAGAGAUUCACGCAAAGACAGUUCUAGAGGGUCCCCCAAGAGGAGUGAGAGUAGAGACCGCAAUUCAGAGAGAAAGAAGUCCAAGAGAGAGAGAAGUAGAACUAGGUCCAGGUCCAGAGAUAGGUACAGAAGUAGGUCAAGGGAUAGGGGGAAAAAUAGGAGUGUAAGUAGGGAAAGGGAGAAAAGAUACAGAAGCCGUUCAAGGGACAGAAGUAGGUCAAGGGAAAAGAGACGUAGUAGAAGUAGGUCAAGGGACAGGAGACGAAGUAAAAGUAGGUCAAGGGAAAGGCGGCGCAGUAGGUCAAGGGAAAGGAAAAGAAAGAGUAGAAGUAGGUCAAGAGGAAGGGAUAGUCGUAGGCGCAGUGACAAAUAUCAAGAUGAUAAGAAGGAAAAACUCCGUCACUCAACAGGACUCUAAGAGUAGUAAAUCUAAGUCGAAGAAACGUAAAAGGUCAAAGUCCCAAUCAGACAGUGAUGAUGGACGCAGGAGCAAGCAGAAGAAAUCGGGGAAGAACCGGUCUAGGAGUCGAUCUGGUGAACCCAAAUCCAAAAAAUCUGGUGGCGGUAAGAAGUCCAGACACAGGUCUAGCUCCAGCUCAAGGUCCCUGUCUCCAAAGAGAAAGUAGAGUGCAUCCAGAUAUUUAGCAGUUUUCCUACACCAUGUGAUUUUUCUGUUAUAAUUCUUACAAAAUAAAAUUUGAGUCUAUAAGCAUU